UACAGAGGUCUCAAGCGUUGUUCGGAUUCAUUGGGCGUAAAGGGUGCGUAGGCGGCGCGGUAAGUCGGGUGUGAAAUCUCGGAGCUUAACUCCGAAACUGCAUUCGAUACUGCCGUGCUUGAGGACUGGAGAGGAGACUGGAAUUUACGGUGUAGCGGUGAAAUGCGUAGAUAUCGUAAGGAAGACCAGUGGCGAAGGCGGCUAUCUGGACGGUUUCUGACGCUAAGACGCGAAAGCGUGGGGAGCAAACAGG
rnacentral:rRNA from 1 species